rnacentral:lncRNA from 10 species
GCUGUAACCACCUGGGAAAACUUCACAGAAAAUGAGAGUUUCAGAUACUGAGAAUAGAACCACUAAGAAGCAGAAAAGAGAAGAUAUUCUCGUGGGGGAGAACAACGGCUGGGAGGGGAGGAAGCAUGGCCAAGGCAAAGAGAACUGCUUCUUGCUGCCGCCAUAUGAAGAAGGACGUGUUCGCUUCCCCUUCCUCCAUGAUUGUAAGUUUCCUGAGACCUCGCCAGCCAUGCUGAACUGAAUACAACAUGUUUAAGACCACAGAACAUCUGCAUAGGCUGUAAAUUUCGUUGAAUGAUGGAUGCAAAGAUGGAAGACAGAUGGAUAGAGGAAAAGACAGAAUCAGAUACUGGAUGAGUUAGUACUGCUGCCUGUGCUUCAGAGCUGUCUUAUUACCACAAGGCCGGCAAGCAUCAAUGUCCCCACAUCCCCCUCUGCCUCCCCCUGAAAUGUACCGAUUUAUAUGAAAAUUAAGAUUACAAAUUAAAGCCUGGCUAUCCUGGAGUUUUCCAGUUCAUCAGCCAUCCAAUAAAAAUGAUGUCAAGCCUGUAUGCAUAAUUCCCGGAAGAUUACUUUCGUCCUUACAGCUAAGCCCUGUCCCUGAUAUGAAAGAUCUCUAUCCACUUUUAUUGAAAUAAAGAACUAACAUCAUAAUCCCAAUAUUGAGGUAUAAUCUUCAUUAUCUCCUGACCCUCUUGAGGUUCCCCCAAUCUAUAUUACUUCAGAUUUGGUUUAUGUGUAAUCCUUAUGUAUUUACUUUUAUUGAGAUAGGAUUAAAAACUAAAAAAAAAGCUUCAA